GAUGAACGCUAGCGGCAGGCCUAACACAUGCAAGUCGAGGGGCAGCAUAAAAUAAACUUGUUUAUUUGGUGGCGACCGGCGCACGGGUGCGUAACGCGUAUGCAACCUACCUUAUACUGGGGAAUAGCCCGAAGAAAUUCGGAUUAAUGCCCCAUAGUACUGAGACCUCUCCUGAGGAUUCAGUUAAAGCUUUGGCGGUAUAAGAUGGGCAUGCGUCCAAUUAGCUAGAUGGUGAGGUAACGGCUCACCAUGGCGACGAUUGGUAGGGGGCCUGAGAGGGUGGUCCCCCACACUGGUACUGAGACACGGACCAGACUCCUACGGGAGGCAGCAGUGAGGAAGAUUGGGCAAUGGGCGCAAGCCUGAACCAGCCAUGCCGCGUGAAGGAUGAAGGUUCUAUGGAUUGUAAACUUCUUUUAUUUGGGAAUAAACCUCUUUACGUGUAGAGAGCUGAAGGUACCAAAUGAAUAAGCACCGGCUAACCCCGUGCCAGCCGCCGCAGUAAUAC
rnacentral:rRNA from 1 species